UGCAGUGCCACACAGAUCUGUGGGAAGAUAUAAGGUGUUGUCACCAAGGGCAGGAAGGAGGAUGAGAUGAUCUUGCUUCUCACUUUCUCAGUGCCAUUAUUCUAAGAUCUAUAAAAAACAAAGCCUUCGUCCCUUAGUGUGUGGGUUUUUUUUUUUUUUUUAAAUAGUGGCUUGAGCUAUAUUUAUUACAGACGUAGGGCUAAAUCAGACUUUGUCAACAACUCCUGGACUGUGUUUAGAGGAGGCAUAAACAUUCCCCUGGGAGUUACACACACAGUUCUGGUAUUAAAUACUCUUCUUAUAACAUCCAAUGUGCUGUUUUUAUUGAAGUUAACAGAGUUAUUCCAACAAUUCCCCAAGUCAUGAAAGACAUAAUGGUUCUGCUAUAAUCCUCAGCAUAUUCAUAUUAACUGUCAGAUUAAUUAGACGAUUAGGUUGCUAGGUGUCAGCAUCUGAGAGAGGUGCCGAGGAGACAGAACUGGGUAUGAUACAGAUUGUGACCUGGAAGAAAAGUCUGGGGAGUAGCUGGCAUGACAUGCCAUUAGAAUGCAAAUGAAGUAGGGACUUGAAAGCCACAUGACCAAACUCUAUGGUAGAGAUAUGGAAUAGAGGAUUGGUUUUGAAAGAAAAUUCUUCUAAUUGUAAAAGUAAUAUAACUAUAUAAUGUUCAAUGGUAUAUUCAAAGUUGGGCUUCUUUCACGUCUCAUGUUCUCAAGGUUGAUCCAUGUUGUAGCCUGUGUGAGCACUUCAUCCUUUUUUUGUAUAAAUCUACUGUAUGGAUAUCUAUACACACAUUUUCUUUAUUCAUUCAUCAAUGGAUGAACACAAAAGUCAUUUCCACUUUUGACUCUCACGAAUAAUGCUCUGAACACUCAUGUACAAGUUUGUGUGUAGACAUAUGUUUUCAAUUCCCUUCAAAAUAUACCUAGGUUCAUGCUUUUUGGGUUACAUGGUAACUCAAUGUCUUGAGGAACAGCCAAACUCUUUGUCAAAAGAGGCUUCUCAUCACAAAGUAUUUUAUUGAUUGGUUUCACAAUCACAUAUUUUAGCUUUGUCAUAUUGUAGCACAUUUAAUAUGCUUUCAGUUUUGAUAUGUUUAAUAUUUUCAUUCCUAUAACCUUUUAUUUUUUUGAAUUAUAUUAAGGCAGGGUCCAAUUUUGAGUCUUGUUUUUAGCAUUUUUUUACUUUUUGUUUUGUUUUGUUUUAAUGGCCAUACCCACAGCAUAAUGAAGUUCCCAGGAGAGGCGCUAAAAAGACAAACAAAACAAAACAAAAACAAACAAACAAAACCUUCCAAUAACAACCAUUCUUUACGGGGAGCAUAAACACUUCUUUAUGCUAGCAACAAACACUUUUAGUUUUGCUUCAUUUAAGAAUAUCAUUAUUUUUCCUUCAUUUCUGGAGGAUAGUUUGGACAAACAAAGAACUUUCAGUUAAUUUUUUUUCUUCCAGCAGAAAAAUGUUGUAC
rnacentral:lncRNA from 1 species